GAUGAACGCUGGCGGCGUGCCUAAUACAUGCAAGUCGAGCGAACGGACGAGAAGCUUGCUUCUCUGAUGUUAGCGGCGGACGGGUGAGUAACACGUGGAUAACCUACCUAUAAGACUGGGAUAACUUCGGGAAACCGGAGCUAAUACCGGAUAAUAUUUUGAACCACAUGGUUCAAAAGUAAAAGACGGUCUUGCUGUCACUUAUAGAUGGAUCCGCGCUGCAUUAGCUAGUUGGUAAGGUAACGGCUUACCAAGGCAACGAUGCAUAGCCGACCUGAGAGGGUGAUCGGCCACACUGGAACUGAGACACGGUCCAGACUCCUACGGGAGGCAGCAGUAGGGAAUCUUCCGCAAUGGGCGAAAGCCUGACGGAGCAACGCCGCGUGGGUGAUGAAGGUCUUCGGAUCGUAAAACUCUGUUAUUAGGGAAGAACAUAUGUGUAAGUAACUGUGCACAUCUUGACGGUACCUAAUCAGAAAGCCACGGCUAACUACGUG
rnacentral:rRNA from 1 species